rnacentral:rRNA from 1 species
GACAGAGGGUGCAAACGUUGUUCGGAAUUACUGGGCGUAAAGCGCGUGUAGGCGGCUAUGUAAGUCGGGCGUGAAAUCCCACGGCUCAACCGUGGAAGUGCACCCGAAACUGCGUAGCUAGAGUCCUGGAGAGGAAGGUGGAAUGCUUGGUGUAGAGGUGAAAUUCGUAGAUAUCAAGCGGAACACCGGUGGCGAAGGCGGCCUUCUGGACAGUGACUGACGCUGAGGCGCGAAAGCCAGGGGAGCAAACGGG